UGUAAUACUAGUAGUUUUACUAAUUAGAUCAUCUUUGAGACCUCUCUUUGUAUUCUAGUAAUCAUUCCUGGGACUGGUCAUUUCAAAAGGCUAAAGCAAUGCUUAGCAUGGCAAAACAACAUUAUAUGUGGUUUUUUAUUACAGGUGUGUCUGUCUGGUCCAGCCAAUUUGUCCAGUCCAUGCUUGAAACGAGGAGUGUGGAUUAAGGGAAGAAAUAGACAAGAAACACAAGAUGGAGUCGGAAGGACAUCCCAUAAAUACGAUAAUCAGCCCCAAGUUUAUUGCUCUAAGUUCUUAUAUACCCCAAUCAAAGGGGGGAAGGUAAAAAUCUUCCUUACCCCUGCUACAAGAAACAAGCAAAUGUAAUUACCUCCUUAAAACCCAAAACAUCAAGUAACCACACCCUAAGCCAAUUAUCCUAUUGUUUAGGUAAGACAUCCAUUAUCUACACCUUCAGCCAGAUAUCCUGUUGUCUAGGCAAAACAAUAGCCUCACCAUAGACCAAACACAUUGAGGUUUAACUUUGAAGGAACAAGAACAGACUUGAACUCUAUGACCUUAAGCCAAGAUGGAACGGAGCCACUUCUAUGGGCCUCCACACAGGUGUGCCUUUUAUUCCACCCUGACCAAAAACUAAUUGGAUUUUGCAUUUACAAGCUGAGAACAUGUAAUACACUCAGUAGAUAUAUCAGCAUCAUUUGGGGUCAGUAGUAUUGUGUCCUCGUUGUUUCCCCCAAGCUCUUGGCUUGAUGAGUGAAAAUCCUUAUGGUUCCCUAAGUUAUCAGCUUACUUUUCCACAUGGAAAAAUGUCUCUUCUUGAUGUAUUUGUCAUCUAUCUUCAGACAUUUCCUUUACCCAGUGGUCUCCAGGACGUUGUCCUGGUUGGAUAUAUUGAAGUGACAGACAUCCUGGGACUUCAUUCCUUUUAUUGAAAGGACACAAACAUAGCCUUGCCCUAAUGUUAAAAGAACAUGUAUUCCUUUCCAUUAAUUAGUUUCUAGAUCUUUCUUGUUGCAUGAAAAAUAAAAGACCCAGAGACAGAUAUUGGGGUUCAAGCUUCAAGCUGAAGAUCAGAGAAGCAAUGCAGCCAAGCCAGUAGAUCUUAACCCUAGCUGAAAUGGCAAUCCUGUCUCCAUGAAUCCUCAGAGGCAAAAGCUCCCAGUUCCUGUCUCCUGCUCCUUUUAUUCCUUUCUCUGCCCAUCCAUAUCACUCCUGUCUCCUCCUUCCUAGUGCUGGGAUUAAAGGUGUGUAAUCCCAAGUGAUAGGAUCAAAGGCGUGGGCUCUGUUAUUCUUUUAGACUGAUUCAAUCUUGUGUAGGUAUGGGUGGCCUUGAACUCAGAGAGACCCAUCUGCCUUUGUCUCCUGAGUCCUGGGACUAAGGAUGUAUGUCAACACUGCCUGACUUCUAUGGCUAACUAGUAUGGCUGCUUUUCUAUUUUGAUCUCUAGUGGCUUUAAUAAAUUAGGUUGUUGUCUCCUUUAGGGCAAAAAUGCUUCUGAGCUAAAGAAGAAUCAUUAUCCUGCUACCAAAAGUUCAGCUCCCAACUCAUGUGGAGACCACUUCUCAACCACAGGGCACACUAGCCAGAAGACCUGAGACAAAACAGAAACCAAGGAACAAAACACCCACCCAACAAAGACAAAUGCAGAAAUUAGCACCUAGUCCUAUAAUGACUUCAAACCCAAAUGACUAGACUCCAGCAUAAGAAGACAGUCAAAAACAGUCAAAAACAGUCAGGGGAAUAUGUCAUCACCAGAGCUCAACUAUCAUAACACAGUAGUCCUAAAUAUUCCAACAUAGCCAAAGCAAAAGAAAAUGACCACAAAACCAACUUUACAAUGAUGAUAGAGAUCCUUAAAGAAGAAAAUAAUAAAUCCCUUACAAAAAGCCAAGAAAAAAAAACAAUUGAAGGAAACAAAUAAAGCUGUGCAAGACCUGAAAAUGGAAAUAGAAGCAACAAAGAAGGCACAAAGUGAGGGAAUUCUGGAAAUGAAAAAUCUAGGUAAAUGAACAGGAAAUACAGACAUAAGCUUUGCCAACAGAAUACAAGAGAUGGAAGAAGAAAUCUGAGGCAUAGAAGAUACAAUAGAAGAAAUAGAUUCAUUGGUCAAAAAAAUUGGUUAAAUCUAAAAAAUUCAAGACACAAAACAUCCAGGAAAUCUGGGACAUGAUGAAAUGACCAAACCUAAGAAUAAUAGAAAUUAAAAAAGAGGAAAAUCCCAGCUCAAAAGCACAGAAAAUAUUUACAAAAAAAUCAAAGAAGACAGGAUCCAUCCUUCUGCUGCAUACAAGAAAUACACCUAAACAUCAAAGAUAGACAUUACCUCAGGGUAAAGGGUUGGAAAACGAUUUUCCAAGCAAAUGGACUUAAGAAGCAAGCAGGUUUACCUAUCCUAAUAUCUAACAAAAUAGACUUCAAACUAAAAGUAGUCAAAAGAGAUGGAGAGGAAUGCUACAUAUUCAUCAAAGGAAAAAUUCACCAAGAUGAUAGUUCAAUUCUUAACCUCUAUGCCUCAAAUUCAAGGGCACCCAUAUUUGCAAAAGAAAAUUACUUAAGUUUAAAUCACACUUUGACCCUCACACACUGAUAGUGGGAAAACUAAGUCAAAACCUAAGGAAGGAAAUGCUGGAGCUAACUGGAUGAUGCAACUGGAAACAACCUAGAUGUCCCUCAACUGAAGAAUGGAGAAAAAAACUGAUAGACUUUUAAAAAAAUAUAUCAUUAAAUUUACCCAGGCAAAUGGAUACAACUAGGAAGUAUCAUCUUGAAUGAGGUAACCCAGACCCAGAAAGACAAACAUGGCAUGUACUCACUCGUAAGUAGAUAUUAUCAGUUAAGUAAAGAAUACUCAUGCUAAAAUCCACAGGUUCAUAAAGGCUAAGUAACAAGGGGAUAUGGAUAUGGAUUUCACCUGGUCAGGGAAAAUAGAAUAGAUCAUUUCAGUGGACUGAGAUUUGGUGGCUAUGGAGAUAGGAGGAAUCAGGAUGGAGGGAGAGAGUGCAAGGAGGGACAACUGGCACCGGGGGGCAUUGGGGAAAUGUACUGCAGUGGAAACUCCCUACAAUCUACUAUGGUGACCCUAGAUAGAACUCCUCAUAAUGGAGGAUAUAGAGUCUGAACUGUCUACCAUCCGUAGCCCUAACCUAUAUGUUGGGAGCCAUACAGCUUGGCAUGGAUGAACCUUUAGGCCGAACUUGGCCAGACACACGGCUAUGGAACUGUCUUUUGAUUAUAAAUGGCUUCUAGAAGCAUGAGCACCCAGAAGGAACAACAUGACCCAGAUGUCAAUCCUUUGUUCCAACCCACAGGCCCACUUACCUAGGCAACCCUCCCUCACCCCAACAUCCAUGAACUUUGUACCCUGCCAACAUCCUCCUUCUAUAGUUUUCCUACCUUCUGCUUAAACUAACACCUGGUUCUUGGCCUCUUCUCCUCCUCCCCUCUACCCCACUCUACUGACUACAUAAGCUAGCCUGGGAAAAAUAAAAUUUGCCACUUGAUCAGAAUCCUGUCUUGUGGUCAUUCUUUCUUCGUCUAUUGUCUCUAGUCCCCUCCUUGGACAUCUUGCCCUAGGUUGCUGUCCUGAGGGUUGGGACAAAUACACCUAUAGAUGAUGAGGUCAGUUAAAAUAUCCAGUGGUUGAGAAAUAGCUAAUAAAAGCUGAUUAAUAAGACUUCAGACAGAUGAGCUCUAACAUCAGGGGUGGUUACAAAGUUUUUGUGGAGUAUGUGGAAUUUGUAUAUAAAAUAUAGCUCCUUGUCCUUUUGCAGAACCAUCUGUAAAAGCAUUAGAAAUGAUCUCUAUAAACUUUUUAGAUUUAACUUUUUAGCUUUAGAGUUAAGCAACAGCCAUGGGGUUUCUUUAAAAAUCUUAAAGGGAAAUCUUCAAGAUAAGAUCAUCUAUGGAUUCUGAGUAACCAGCUAACACUAUCUGCCAAUUUGUCUCAGUGUCACAAAUAACAGACCUGCACUGUAUUUAGUGGUAGCACGAUUUCUGUAGGCUCUUUACCAGUAGGUGGCGUACAGUGCGGAGGAUGGGGUGAGGUGAGCUGGGAUAGGGUGGAGCCACCCUCCACUCCUGGGAACUUAAGAAAGGGCCAUGGAACCCGGACUGGAAGUUUCAAUAAGCUUGCCUUUCCUCCCUAGCAACAACAGGGCCGAGUGUCUGAUGAACAAGUGGAGAAAAAGACAGAAUCUGGAGUGUUCCUGAGGGCUCAGCUGCUAAUGGGUGAGAUAAAAAGACAGGGGGUGUGGCAACCCUGAACAACAGUGACCUCACCUCUCAGUUCAUAGCUGCAGCUCUCAUGUGCUCCAGCAGGACUGAGAGGAUAGUGGUCCCCAGGGAGGGAGGGCCAGCGCCACAGGGAAGCGGAGUGCGCCCUGAAGAGAUGUAAAGAUGGGAAGUAGGAAUUACGUGGUUGGAGCAUGAGGGAACCAUCUGAAUUCACAGCCCAGAUGCCUGGAACUUCCGUGAAUCUCUGAGCAGGAUCCUCUGCAAAGUGGUUCUGAGGUCUUCCUUCUCAGCUGCAGUCACUCCUGUUACCUGGUCUCCUGAGAGAACCUUGGCAAAGGCUGCAGCAAUCCUUCCACCCUGGCUCUGUGCCCUUUGUCUCUAUUGAGCUGUCUGUGGUGCAUGCUUCUGGCCAGUGAGUUGCUAGGAUCUAACUGGAAGGCGGGGUGUGGUGGGGGAACCACGGACAGGACGAUGAGCUGCUGAGCUGCGGGGCUACUCCUCCUCCUCCACUGCCACCAAGCCACUCUGGCGGGCUCCAGCUCUUCACGCUGCAGCUUCCUCACCCAGGCUUCAGUGAAUUGGCAAAGUUACUGUGGGAGGACAGCACAGGGGCUACAUGAAUGAGAAGGACAAGGUGACACAGGGGAGUAAGUAACUGGUGGCCCCCUCAGCCCUACUGGGGUCCGCAGGAAGACGAAACCAAGUCACCAGAACGGGAUAUGAUUGGCACAGUGCGGGACCCCACCAGGCGGGGGUCUCAGACUUCUCCUCUGGACCUAAGGCAUGUUCUAAAGAGUGCCUUUCCCUGGGAUUCCUCACAAGCCUUCUACUGUUCCCCAAUCUCUUUGCCCUUGAGCUUAAUUUCCCACCUUCAUACUAUAUAUUAUCAUCAGAUCAUAAUAAAUAUUUCCAGGGCCAAGACCACCCACGUACUCGUUUUUUCUUUGCCUCCUUUGUUGUCAUUGUAUUUUAAGGCAGGGUUUCACCCUUUAACACACAUCUUAGAAUUUGCAGCACUUUCUUCUCUCCCUCUCCUAUCCACAAAGUGCCUUUUACCUUCUCUUCCACCAGGUGGCAAUCUGUGUUCACGACUGAAGAUGCCUUAGCUAAUCAGGGGCUGGCACACCUUGUCUACUGUGAAGGACUCGGGCAAUGGCAUGGGGUGGCGACAUGUGAAAGCUUCUGUUUUUGCCUCCCAGACCCAUGUCGUCUACUUCCUAGGGAGAUGGCAUCAG
rnacentral:lncRNA from 1 species